rnacentral:pre_miRNA from 1 species
AGCAUGAUUGCUGGAUCAUAUGGUAGGAGUAUGUUUAGUUUUAUAGAAAACUGCUAGAUUUUCUUCCAAGGUGGCUGUAUCAUUUUGCAUUUCCACCAGCAAU